GUGGGGAAUAUUGGACAAUGGGGGAAACCCUGAUCCAGCAAUGUCGCGUGAGUGAAGAAGGCCUUAGGGUUGUAAAGCUCUUUCACCCGUGAAGAUGAUGACGGUAGCGGGAGAAGAAGCCCCGGCUAACUCCGUGCCAGCAGCCGCGGUAAUACGGAGGGGGCUAGCGUUGUUCGGAUUUACUGGGCGUAAAGCGCACGUAGGCGGCUUGUCAAGUUAGGCGUGAAAGGCCUGGGCUCAACCCGGGAACUGCGCUUAAGACUGACAGGCUAGAGUCCGGGAGAGGGCAGUGGAAUUCCCAGUGUAGAGGUGAAAUUCGUAGAUAUUGGGAAGAACACCGGUGGCGAAGGCGGCUGCCUGGCACGGUACUGACGCUGAGGUGCGAAAGCGUGGGGAGCAAACAGG
rnacentral:rRNA from 1 species